rnacentral:tRNA from 1 species
GGCCGUGUAGCCAAGAAGCUAAGGCGACAGUUUGCAAAACUGUUAUACGUGGGUGCGACUCCCACCGCGGCCU